rnacentral:sRNA from 10 species
UCUCAAGAGACCGAUCGGAAGGUGAGUGCAGAAACCGAAAGAAGAGUCGAAAAGAGAAAGAGACCUAAAGGGUGAAAGCGAAGACGGCUGGAGAAGCUAGCAAUAACAAAAGCCGACUCCCACCAAACUCGAAAAGAGAAAUCGAGUAAGGAGCUGAAGAAAAAAUCUCACUUCAGACACCUAAAGGACUCGACUGAGAA